GACGAACGCUGGCGGCGUGCCUAAUACAUGCAAGUAGAACGCUGAAGGAGGAGCUUGCUUCUCUGGAUGAGUUGCGAACGGGUGAGUAACGCGUAGGUAACCUGCCUGGUAGCGGGGGAUAACUAUUGGAAACGAUAGCUAAUACCGCAUAAGAGUAGAUGUUGCAUGACAUUUGCUUAAAAGGUGCAAUUUCAUCACUACCAGAUGGACCUGCGUUGUAUUAUCUAGUUGGUGGGGUAACGGCUCACCAAGGCGACGAUACAUCGCCGACCUGGGAGGGGGAUCGGCCACACUGGGACCGAGAAACCGCCCAGACUCCUACGGGAGGCAGCAGUAGGGGAUCUUCGGCAAUGGGCGGAAGUCUGACCGGGCAACGCCGCGUGAGUGAAGAAGGUUCUCGGAUCGUAAAGCUCUGUUGUAAGAGAAGAACGAGUGUGAGAGUGGAAAGUUCACACUGUGACGGUAUCUUACCAGAAAGGGACGGCUAACUACGUG
rnacentral:rRNA from 1 species